GUGAAACGUUGGUUCACCAGCAAUUACACAUGAAAAUCAGUUUAUUUGAUGGAGUUUACUUUCUAAGAUUCCAUAAUGGCACAAAGUGAUGUGUCCAGAACCAAUAUGGUGGCAUUGCUAACGCAGGCCAUAUUUUGAUGCUCUUUUGUUGAAACACGAUGUUCCCUUUUCUAAAGCUUGGUUUAAAGUAUUAAGUAUGCUAAAUUUGAGCAUCAUUUAGUUCAUUAUUUGAGUUUGAUAGCAUUUUGUCCUCAUUAAUAGUCUCCUUGCAAUAUUUCCUACAUAAAACAUGAGUGACACGACUGUAUAUCCUGUUUGAGACAAUCAUGUUUCUUUUCUUGUUCUCAUGGCACUUAAUUUUAGUUGAGUUGACUUCCUGAAUUGCUUGUCUUCAAGUCUGAUUCACAUUUUUCUGCAAAAGACAAUAGCUUGGUUUUAU
rnacentral:misc_RNA from 1 species